UCCUGGAGAGUUUUAUGUUUCCCUGAGCAAGAAACGUGAAAUAGGACUACACGCCAAUUUACUAGCACAUCAUUUAGAUUUAUUUUAAGUCAUAAAAUUCAGCUUUGACAAAAUUGGAAAAGCGGUGAAAGAAAAUUAAAUUUUCAAAAGUAAAUUGGCUAUCUUAG
rnacentral:ncRNA from 1 species